AAUCAAAACAUCGAAGGUCGACGCUUUCUCACAAUCGUCUUCCUCGAUAGAGCUAGGGUUCUUCGCUCUGAAUCUGUGAUCUCCCUUAGGUGAAACUUCUACCAAAAAUCCUACUAUAUUAGAAACUUAUUCUUUAUUCGUAUGGCUAACAUAUCUACUAUUCUUGCUGAUCUCAAAUCUGGAUGUUGCUCAUCCACGGUGGAGGUGUUGUUUCUCAGGUUUGGGAAGCUAGAAACAUUAAACGUGGUGGCGACCUACCAGUAGUAGAUAUGUUCCUUCUGGAUUCUAAGGUUCAUUAGAUUUCUAGCUUAUUGGUUUCAGCCUCCCCUAAAAAAAAUUUGUGGAGUGAUUCAGAUUUUUUAUCCUCAGUUUGUAGAUUGUGGAUCAUUGGAUGAACAUGGAUUUGCAAGGAACAAAAUCAUGUAAUCUAUGACAAUCUACCUCCGCCUCACUCAAACAAAUUCAUAGAAAAAUCAUUUGUUGAUCUUCAUCUCAAACAAUCAGAAGAGGACUUAAAGCAAUGGCCUGACAGUUUGAGUUCUGUCUUCGGGUUUCAUUUGCCAUAAUGGCGACUUAGGACUAACAUUGAUUUCUCAUGCUAGAAA